GCAGGAGGGUUUUUUGAGUAUCUUCUGCGUGCCAGUGAGGGGAGGACGAGUGUGUCAAAAGCCUUCAUCACCUCCACUCUGCUGGAGCAGUCAGCCUUCGACAUCAUCAAUAAGAUCAGUGAGGUGAAGCUCAGUAUGGCGUCAUGUCUCUCUGAUUACAUCACUGAUGAGAUCCUACAGUCUCUCUCUCGCUCUCAACAAACACUGGUGGGUCAUCUGAGCAGGAGAGGACAGCAGCCGCUGCUUCAUCACGACUCACAGGAGGCAGAAGUUAUAGACGAGAGAGAAAUACAGAUGGACAACAUGACACAACAACCAAACCAACACGCCACA